CAUUGGAUUUGAGUGCGAGAACAUGAGGUUUUCGGUGUGAAACAGAAACACCUACAAAAUUAUUAUGCACGAGGUUUUCUGGAUUAGACAGCAUCUGGAAAAGAUCGGAUAACUACAAGAGAGCAUGUGUGUGCAAUGAUUUAUUUGCUGCAAAUAUAAGGACGAGCAGGAGCAGUGGGAAAUGGGAAUCAGUUCGUAAGAUUCAUUCUGAUCUGUGUACGUGAACUUCUAUCCUUUUCGGAAAACUCGUAAGAGUGGCGGGUCCUACAUGGAUCCGAAUUCAUAUGAUCCAUCCAUUGAAUCAAUCAGUUGUGACACACACUGCGUACAUGGGAUUCAUGUCUCAAUUCGUCCCCCUGUGCUGCUAAACGCUACCCUGUGUCUGGGAAAUAAUGUGGGUUCUUAUCUCCAACCGUUUCAACACCGCCUCCGAUAGUAAAUGGCCCAUUAUCCGAAUCCCCCUCCCUCUCUGUCUCUCUCUACUUCCCUAACCCUUCAUCCAACCAAACAUUUUCCUUUCGAAUUUUUUCAAAAAAGAAAAAAGAAAAAGAAAAACAGGAGAGUUUUUAUCCUUUCUAUAAAUUUAUUAAAAAAUAAAAUAAAAAAGUAAAAUAUAUGAAGAGCAAAACUGGAAUUUUGCUCCUGCCCGAUUGCCACCUGAGCUAGUAAGCAAACAAAGAGGUAGGCCAAGUGUUGUAUAAGAGAGUUAAACAGUGAGGCUGGCCGUGGACACGACAUGUCCUGUUCGCUAUGCCAAGUAUUCAACCAAAAGCCACGUUUCAGGUUAUGUCUCAUAACUCCUUCCUUCCUUCCUUGUCGUAUAAAUACCGCCACCCUUUUCACUUAUGGCUUAUCACACGCACCAAAAGCAAAAACAGAAGAAAAAGAGGAAGAAAAGAGAGAGAGAGAGAGAGCUCGGAAACACAGACACAAUCCCUACCCCUUUAAAUCCCAGAGUAGUGUGUCACUGUCAAUCAACCACAAUGUUGAAGUCAGAGAUGAGCAGCGUUAAGGUUGGGGAAAGAAAGCAAGUGAAGAGGCCUGCACAGGCCAGUUCAAGAAAGGGGUGCAUGAGAGGGAAAGGAGGCCCUGAGAAUGCCAUGUGCACUUACAAAGGUGUGAGGCAGAGGACUUGGGGGAAAUGGGUGGCUGAAAUCCGUGAGCCCAACCGAGGUGCUCGUCUCUGGCUUGGCACUUUUGACACCUCCCAUGAAGCUGCUUCGGCUUAUGAUGCUGCUGCGCGCAAACUCUACGGUUCCCAGGCCAAGCUCAAUUUGCCUGAUCAAUAUCACCAUCAAGUCCCUUCCUCUGCCAACACCCACAUGCUUUCACAGACGCCAAACCCAUCAGCCCAACUAACCCUUCUGCAUCAGAAUCCAUCAGGUACUUCCAGUGCCUGUUUAUCAAACGAUUAUGCUGCUCCUCUCAACGAUGUUGCAGUUCCAGUACUUCGCGAUCAUUUUCCGAAUGUGAAAGCUCAUCAGCCCCAUGGUACUUACCCUGAGCCUAAGCCAGAGGCAGAGCACAGCAAGAUGAAAGUGGAGGAGAAUAUGAGUGGCAAUGAAGGAAUGGAGUCUGGAAUUUUCUGGGGCAACGUAAGCGGAAACUUUCCGAUGUUCGAUGACUCGAUAUGGGUGGAGGCAGCCAUGUCCCUUGAUUUUCCGGUGAUAGAAGAUCAUGGCAUUUUUUCCAGCAACUUCGUCGAUGGAAGUGUUUGGGAACCAUUGCAGCCAUCUCCAUGGUGCGUGUAAAUGUGAAGCUACAGAGCUAAAGAGGGUGUCCUAGGAAAUGAAGUUGCACAAAUUAGAACCUCAGUACUUGUAUAAAUGACCACUCGAGCUUGCGCCUUGCAUGCCCUAUUGUCCUUGUGUAUGAUAUGAUUAUGAACAAAUACAAAUAUACAAGUAUAGAGCGGUGGUUGUCCUCUCCUCUUGAAGCUUUGAGUUUGAACUUGUCCAUAUCACAGCUGAGCUGAGACACAAGUCCCAUUAAUUCAUCUCUAUCUCUGUCUCAAGUCGGGGCCUGCUUUGAAACAAGGCAUCAAUCACCAAAGACUCAAAACGUUUCUGCACUUAUUGCA